rnacentral:rRNA from 1 species
GACGAACGCUGGCGGCGUGCUUAACACAUGCAAGUCGAACGGAAAGGCCCUGCUUUUGUGGGGUGCUCGAGUGGCGAACGGGUGAGUAACACGUGAGUAACCUGCCCUUGACUUUGGGAUAACUUCAGGAAACUGGGGCUAAUACCGGAUAGGAGCUCCUGCUGCAUGGUGGGGGUUGGAAAGUUUCGGCGGUUGGGGAUGGACUCGCGGCUUAUCAGCUUGUUGGUGGGGUAGUGGCUUACCAAGGCUUUGACGGGUAGCCGGCCUGAGAGGGUGACCGGCCACAUUGGGACUGAGAUACGGCCCAGCCUCCUACGGGAGGCAGCAGUGGGGAAUAUUGCACAAUGGGCGGAAGCCUGAUGCAGCAACGCCGCGUGCGGGAUGACGGCCUUCGGGUUGUAAACCGCUUUCGCCUGUGACGAAGCGUGAGUGACGGUAAUGGGUAAAGAAGCACCGGCUAACUCCGUG